UACAGAUCCAGUAAAGUAUAGAAACACUUUGGGUUUGACACAUUGCGGGAAAAGCAGAGCCAGACAUCAUGGGUAAAGCUGCAUGCUAACUCUGUCAUGGACAGGAAACGUUAUCGUAUUGCGGUAACAGCCAUCACUCUCAUCUCCGUGGUCAAAUCAACAGACGCUACAACUGUAGAGCACCCAUAUACUGACAUUUAUGUUAAAUGAAUUCAAACGGCCCCGAUGGAGCUGACCAUGGAUGUAUAAAGAGACAGGAGAGUUAGCGAGUCACUAGUAGCGACAAACUUGGCGAAGUUAGCGGAAGUAUACAUGUGUGACCACAACC